UACGUAGGGUGCAGGCGUUAAUCGGAAUUACUGGGCGUAAAGCGUGCGCAGGCGGUUUCUUAAGUCAGAUGUGAAGGCCCCGGGCUUAACCUGGGAACUGCGUUUGAAACUGGGAGACUUGAGUGUGGCAGAGGGGGGUGGAAUUCCACGUGUAGCAGUGAAAUGCGUAGAUAUGUGGAGGAACACCGAUGGCGAAGGCAACCCCCUGGGUUAACACUGACGCUCAUGCACGAAAGCGUGGGGAGCAAACAGG
rnacentral:rRNA from 1 species